UACAGGGGGUGCAAACGUUGCUCGGAAUUAUUGGGCGUAAAGCGCGCGUAGGCGGCCGCUUAAGUCGGAUGUGAAAGCCCCUGGCUCAACUGGGGAAGUGCACCCGAAACUGAGUGGCUUGAGUACUAAAGAGGGUCGCGGAAUUCCCGGUGUAGAGGUGAAAUUCGUAGAUAUCGGGAGGAACACCGGUGGCGAAGGCGGCGACCUGGGUAGAUACUGACGCUGAGGCGCGAAAGCUAGGGGAGCAAACGGG
rnacentral:rRNA from 1 species